UCUAUUGAAGAUUAUGUUCAAGUUACCUCAAAAUCUCCCAAUUUUCAGGUGAAACUCCUCUAGUUUCUAGUUUGUAAUACCCUUGUCAUCCUGGUUAAGUCGUCUCUGGUUUGUUGCAGUGGAUCAAAAAUUUUGGCACUGGAAAGUAGACAUAGCAUUAUAGGUAUUGUCUGGUUCAAAAGAGAAUAGAACUGUACCAUAUCUCUUAGUUGCUAUAACUUUAUCUAUGCAGCCUCAACAUUUAAUUAGUUGUUUUGGCAGCUACAAAUCUCUGUUGACUCAUAUUGUGAUUGCAGUCAACUGAAACCCCCAAGUUCCAUUAAAGCUCAUCUUCUUCAACUUGUGUUUCCAGUUAGAUAUUCGAACUUUAUAUCUAUCCCUGUUAAAUCUCACUGUGU
rnacentral:lncRNA from 10 species